UACAGAGGGUGCAAGCGUUGUUCGGAAUUACUGGGCGUAAAGAGCGCGCAGGCGGUCGUUCAAGUCGCGUGUGAAAGCCCCCGGCUCAACUGGGGAGGGUCACGCGAUACUGCUCGACUUGAAGGCAGGAGAGGGAAGUGGAAUUCCCGGUGUAGUGGUGAAAUGCGUAGAUAUCGGGAGGAACACCAGUGGCGAAGGCGACUUCCUGGCCUGUUCUUGACGCUGAGGCGCGAAAGCUAGGGUAGCAAACGGG
rnacentral:rRNA from 1 species